rnacentral:lncRNA from 1 species
AUCUUCAAUAGUUAAUUUGUUUUACAGUAGAUAUGACCUUUUUAGUAACGGGGAAAUGCCAACAUACGUCUACCAAACCACACCUGCCGGGAAUUGGGUACACCAGGGUGUCGAUAACUACCAGAUCGACGUAAUUUAUCAAAUUUAUCCUGUUUUAAUGGUGUAUCUGUGUUUUUCCGUCUCCUUUUAGUCGGCAACGAAAUGCGUAAAACGUAUCUGAAACCUAAGUGACCAAAACAAAGAACAUAAGUCGGCCAGGAUAAACUUAGACAUCAGAAAUGUUAACAACAGAUCAACGAUCGGAAGUUCGAUGUGCCAUUGGGCCCGCUUGUUCUCGCUGUUUCUGUGAAACUCACGACAAUAAUGUAAAAGAAUCAAUGUAAAUACUAUACUGCUAAUAACCCCUUCUAUUCGCUUCUACGUGUGUACGCCUUUUGUAUGCGUUUAUCGAAACGCGCCUGACGGUCCAAGACAGUAAAACAGAAACGAUUUAACAAAACUCAAAAAGAAAUCCGAAUAAUUUAAGAAUUCUAUGACCAAAAUGAUCGUUCCCAAGUAUAAGUUGGCAAUGUUAUUUUCUGUUAAUUAAGAGAGCAGUGGAGCUGUUACUUGAACUUCAAGAUGAAAGUUUGCACGAGGACAAGAUAGAUGAAUAGGCACAACCGGUCGGUUAUUUAUGAAGCGUCCUCGUCGGAUCUCGAUAAGAGCUAGAGAUAAACGACUCAUUUAAAUCAGCUUUGAAAUUCAUGACAGAUUUUGUUAAAAAAAUUACGAUUACAUUCCAGGCGAUCUGGAAAUGAAGGAAGAGAAAAUCACACCAAAAUCGAUUAUUUCAAACGGACCUCGGGCAAGAGUUUCCGCUGAAAAACCACUUCCGGCCUGCGACGUUGAAAAAAUCCCAGAUGUUUUAUAAACAACAAAACAAAAUUAGUACGUUUUGAAAACCGGUAAUUUGUAAAUCCGCCCCCUGGUCCAGGUGAGACACGACGCCCUCCUCUUGUCAUUUAUGUUUCUGAAACGGACAUUUCUAGAAAGGGUGGCUCGGCGCUUUUAUAGUUCAAUGUUCCAUUUGUUCCGAGGGUUGUUUCACAAACCGGUUAAGUAAUGAGGACUUUAAUUUCUGCUUCUAUCCCGACGAACGACCGCUUGAACAUUAAUAACACUUGUACAACUUGUGAAGAUUUGAAUUUAAUUUAUUAAACAAUCCAACAAGAAACAACAGAAAGAAUAAUGAUAAGUGAUGUGGCAAAUUGAAUUUCAUUGCCGGAUGAUUAAGAAGAUAGGCGCGUCAUAACUGUCAAAUUUAUAAGCAAUUUUCAAAAUUGUUCAUCAACUGUAAUAGACAGACGAGUUAACUCUUGGUUAUGAAAAACUAGAAUAAGGAUGGAAAUUAAAAUACGAGGCUAGACGGACCAGGGACUGCACUUUUCUAAUACCUGCAUGAAAAUUAUACCAUAAAGUACUUGCCCAUUGGAUAAUAAAACCACACCCAGUGCCCACAAGGAGGAAAGAUUAAUGCCUAAUCUUUGUUGACAAGGACCAGAUGAAUUUUGACAGACCAAACCAGCAAUGAUAGACAGGCCUUGACGAUGGGAAAUAUUCAUUGAUUGGCCUGUGCGUUUCUCCGCGUGUACGUCCUUUUUAUACAUAACAAAAUACUGAAACGAACAAGUCCAUAAAUCAAGAAUAGUAUUAUGUAUGAGAUUUCUUUGGGAAGUUGUAUUUGAAAAUUAUUGUUCAACUACUCUUUUUGCCAAGAUCAAGGGACACUGAUUUCUUCAGGAGUUGGUCUGUGCGUUUCUCCGUGUUUAUGUCCUUUCGUCUAUUACAACUGUCAAUUUUUAUUUUUAUAGAUGAAUGCUUAAUCUUUGUUGACAUGGACCAGAUGAACAUCCGAAACCAAAUCAGCAAAGAAUUCAGUGAUUGGCCUAUGCGUUUCUCCGUGUGUUCGUCAGUUUUAUAGACAAUAAAAUACUGAAACGAACAAGUCCAUAUAUUCAGGAAUUAUGUUAAGUGUGAGAUUUCUUUGGGCAGUCGUAUUUGAAAAUUUUUAUACAACUACCCUAUUUUUGGAACGAUCAGAGGACACGGACGUCUUCAGGAGUGGUCUAUGCCUUUCUCCGUGUUUACGUCUGUUUAUAAAUCACGAAAUACAUCUGGCAGACCAUCAAGGCUAGGAUCAGAAACGUCCAAACUGAGUAAUGCUGUAAUUUUCAUAACUUCAGUGAUAGGCCUAGGCUUUUUUUCCCGUGUUUACGUCUUGCAGAUGGCAAAAUUCCAAAAAGAAACAUGUGUUAUCGAGAAUAGUAUUAAGUGUGUGGUGAUUAGU